AUACGGAGGGUGCAAGCGUUGUCCGGAUUUAUUGGGUUUAAAGGGUGCGUAGGCGGCCCGUUAAGUCAGUGGCGAAAGGUAUCAGCUUAACUGAUGAAGUGCCAUUGAAACUGAAGGGCUUGAGUACAGACGAGGUAGGCGGAAUUUAUGGUGUAGCGGUGAAAUGCAUAGAUACCAUAAAGAACACCGAUAGCGAAGGCAGCUUACUGGAGUGAGACUGACGCUGAGGCACGAAAGCGUGGGGAGCGAACAGGAUUAGAAACCCCAGUAGUCC
rnacentral:rRNA from 1 species